UUCAGGAUUGACGAUACUGAGGUACACCCUGUAUCUAUGAGCCAGGUGAUGUCGGAAGGAGCAUAUAUCUUAUUUUAUAAGAGAUCAUCUCCACGGCCAGCAAGGAAGAUUAGCCGAAGACAAGUUCCUGGAAUUGUCAAGCACUGCCCACCAAAAUCGACAAAGACUUCUAGGCCAGAGCAGACAAAAGCGGAGCAUCUUUAUGUUGGUGUGGAUCCUUAUAUGAAUCAUAGGCCAGAAAUGAACAGUGACAUAAUUGAUUGCACCUCCGGUGGACUCGUCAAGAACGCUAAUAGAAAUAGACCGCCGGUUGUGGGAACCUAUACUGAGUCAAUGACUGCAGAGUUCUCUGAUGCUACAUCAAGUGAU
rnacentral:misc_RNA from 1 species